rnacentral:rRNA from 1 species
CACGUAGGGGACGAGCGUUGUCCGGAUUCAUUGGGCGUAAAGCGCGCGUAGGCGGCUCGGAAAGUCGGUCGUGAAAUGCCGGGGCUCAACCCCGGGACUGCGUCCGAUACUCCCGAGCUGGAGGCAGGUAGGGGAGAUCGGAAUUCCUGGUGUAGCGGUGAAAUGCGCAGAUAUCAGGAGGAACACCGGUGGCGAAGGCGGGUCUCUGGGCCGAUAUUGACGCUGAGGAGCGAAAGCGUGGGGAGCGAACAGG